UAGAGAAACUUCGGUUUCUUGAGAGUGGCGAACGGGUGAGUAACACGUAGAUGAUCUGCCUUGAAGUUGGGGAUAGCCUAUAGAAAUAUGGGAUAAUACCGAAUAAUCUCUUAUCACUAUGGUGAUUUGAUGAAAGGGGCUUCGGCCUCGCUUUAAGAUGAGUCUGCGGUCUAUUAGCUAGUUGGUAGGGUAAGAGCCUACCAAGGCGACGAUAGAUAGCCGGCCUGAGAGGGUGACCGGCCACAUUGGGACUGAGACACGGCCCAAACUCC
rnacentral:rRNA from 1 species